CGCUGGCAGACCGGUUCGUCUGCUUUCUCCCAAGACUUGAGCCGCUGCCGGAGAAAUCCGGCAGCGGUUUUUUUGGAGCUUC
rnacentral:misc_RNA from 1 species